rnacentral:rRNA from 1 species
CAGACGAACGCUGGCGGCGUGCUAAUACAUGCAAGUCGAACGCUUCUUUUUCCACCGGAGCUUGCUCCACCGGAAAAAGAGGAGUGGCGAACGGGUGAGUAACACGUGGGUAACCUGCCCAUCAGAAGGGGAUAACACUUGGAAACAGGUGCUAAUACCGUAUAACAAUCAAAACCGCAUGGUUUUGAUUUGAAAGGCGCUUUCGGGUGUCGCUGAUGGAUGGACCCGCGGUGCAUUAGCUAGUUGGUGAGGUAACGGCUCACCAAGGCCACGAUGCAUAGCCGACCUGAGAGGGUGAUCGGCCACAUUGGGACUGAGACACGGCCCAAACUCCUACGGGAGGCAGCAGUAGGGAAUCUUCGGCAAUGGACGAAAGUCUGACCGAGCAACGCCGCGUGAGUGAAGAAGGUUUUCGGAUCGUAAAACUCUGUUGUUAGAGAAGAACAAGGAUGAGAGUAACUGUUCAUCCCUUGACGGUAUCUAACCAGAAAGCCACGGCUAACUACGUGCCAGCAGCCGCGGUAAUACGUAGGUGGCAAGCGUUGUCCGGAUUUAUUGGGCGUAAAGCGAGCGCAGGCGGUUUCUUAAGUCUGAUGUGAAAGCCCCCGGCUCAACCGGGGAGGGUCAUUGGAAACUGGGAGACUUGAGUGCAGAAGAGGAGAGUGGAAUUCCAUGUGUAGCGGUGAAAUGCGUAGAUAUAUGGAGGAACACCAGUGGCGAAGGCGGCUCUCUGGUCUGUAACUGACGCUGAGGCUCGAAAGCGUGGGAGCAACAGGAUAA